CCCAGUUGGAAACUGGGAUGUCCCGCCCGGAGCCAGAGACCCAAGCCGCUAAGGCUGGUCUCUAAAGCAAGGCUGAAACAGCCACAGACAUUGUUGGAAAUGUUCUCAGUGACCAGCUCCCAGGACAGCAGGAUCCCAUGCCUCAGGAAGGGAAAGGCGAUGCUGUUCUGCAGGGCUCUGCAGGAAGAGCAGUUUAAUUACUGUGGACGCUGGGCAAGUGCAGAGAUUUCAGGUAGAAGGAUGUCUAGAGGCAGGAAAUAGUGUGACAUGUAUGAAAAAAAGAAAACUCUAAGCCAUCAAUCAUAUUAAUUGGCUACGAGGUAGCACCGGAGGCUGGGCUGCUGUGUGGAGAUAGUGAUGAGAAGAUCUGAAAAUGAUGGCCCUGAGGAGACUAUAGCCUUCUGUGCAAUCCUGGAAGAGAUGCCUUUAGAAUGUUAUGGAAUGAAUUCUCCAGAAGAGAUUUGCACAUGCUCAACACAAUGGGAAAGAGGGAAGAGAUGUAGGAAAUGGUGCUACCUCGCUGGAGUGCGGGAUCUUGGGGCUGGAGUGUAAAGAUGCCCGUGGCAGGAAGCAAAUAGCCAGGGCGACAGCAGCUGCACACAACUGCAAAGAAGCAUCUCAAUGUUUUAACAGCCUGAGACCACCAGACUGGAAGGUGCCAGCUGUAUAGUUGUGGCAGAACCUAGAUCAGGUAACAGGAUGGGCUUGUGGGACAGAAAGAUACUUAAACUGAAAGCUGAGGGUGGAAUCCAGGAACUAUGCGGGCAUUCUUAAAGAACUGAGAGU